CUCCAGGGUCCCUGAAUUAGACCCAAUCUUGGGGACAGCUCUGCUCUUCUGAUUCAAUGACCAACCUCAAUGGGAAAAGUCAGACUGUGGGAAGUGACUGCCUCAGAAAGCUGCUGGGUGAGAGGAGGGAGGCCAUGGUGACUUCCGGGAAAAAGACCCACCGUCUGUGUGCCCACAUGGGGCUCUCCAGUCCUGGCUUAAAAUAGUGCAAUUCUGCCAUUGAUGCUGGACCCAGCCUGGACCUUACAGGGCUGAAACCAUGGUUUGUGCUGCCAGUAGGAGCUGUGGGUGUGUAUGAGGGUCUACCCAGCAAUUGAGUUCAAAUCAGACUUUGUCCUGUGGCCACAGGGACUAAAAAAAAAAAUACAGAACCCAGACCUGAAGCUUUGGAUGCGAGUUUCAGCUCUUGCACUGAUCAGCUUUGAGACUUUGGUCUGGUGCCUGCCUCACUUUCAACCAAAACGAGACAGUGGCAUGGCACAGAGCCUUGCCAGGCAUAAAGUGGGUGCACAAAACUGGACUCCUGUUGUUUCCAUACUGCACUCUGCUAUACCUGCACGCUCUAAGGACUGGGUGUAGAGCAGGGAAGGCUUGUGGAGAGGGAGCUUGCAAGGAGGGCAAGGAUGGGGCUGUGGUCUCCAUGGUGAGACUUGUUGCCAAGGGAACAAAGUCUCCAGGAGCCCUGGGUCUGGCAGUUGGGCACUUUUGCCACAGGAGCUGGCAGGCUAAUUGUCAUUGCACCCAAACUCCUGAUGGGCCAUCAGGCCAAGGCCAGGCUGAAGAGAGAGGAAGCUCCUGGCUUUGUUUGGCCUCUGCUGCUGGAGGGGCUGCAGCUUCGGCACACUGUCUCCAAGGAUGUCUGGACUUCAGUGAAGCCUGUUGUCAUUCCUAAACUCCUCAGCUACAGGUUGCCUGAGGAACGUAAACCCUGGAAAGGACUCCCUGCAGCCAGAUCAUCCAAUCCCAGCAGCCUCCCCUGUCAUCACUUCAGGAUGUUUCUGGCUCCACUGUUGGAACCUGGAGCACUAGGUUUCACUACUGGUUACACAGAGAUAUCCUUGCUUAUCUCCAGCCUGACUGUCACGACACACUCCAGGAAACUCCAAGCUCACCAUUACUUAAGAAGCAACUUAGAUAUUUGGGAGAGCACUACCCCUAAUUUUACCCCAUGGAAUGCUGACUCAACAGAACUUUUACAGAAGACAAAAGUAAACCCAACAAAGGGGUAGUUCUGCUGAUAUGGAGGAGCCCUACUGAGCUUUUCACAGCAGAAAGACUACAGGAAACUUGCUUCCCAUCAACUCUCUAGCACUCUAUAAAACAUUACUCUUCAAAACAGAGCCAGCUCCCAGCAACUACCACAUGCCACUUGUUGGCAAUAUGCCUAUAAAUCAACUGGAUUCCUCUGAUGAAGAGCGGGCUUCAUGUGCACAUGGAGGUUUGCCCACCACCACUCUUCCCUGGGACAUCAGAGCCAUGGUCAGCCUGUCAACCAGCCUUAUCUCCAACAGGUUCAUCAGUCACGCUCUCUUCUUCAGUUGCUGGUAAACUUGUACAUAUUUUAAAUGACGCACGUUCUGUCCUUGAUGUCUGUGUUUAAAUGCAUUAAAACUGACUAAA